rnacentral:misc_RNA from 1 species
GCAAGUCAAUGUUUCAUACUUAUAAACAUUACUUGUUUGGUGGCUUAGUUGACUACACAGUGUUAGAAGGCAAAGUUCUGCUUUCGUAUAAAAAUAGCAAAUCAGUUUUUAAACGCAAUAAUUUUGUUAAAGUUAUUUUUAAUAUUAUUUUGUAAAUUAAAUUAUCUGUGCAAAGAACUCAGUUAUCUGUGACAAUCUGUAUAGAAAAAAUAAAUUGCGCGCCAAAAAAAAUUAACAAAUUAAAAAAAUUGUGGCCAUGACAUUGUUGUGAUUCUGCCUAAAAAAUGUCUUUGACAAAUGUGUAAAAGGUUGACUUAUUUUGAAAGGCUAGAUUUAAAUCAUUAUUCCUUGGAAGUGAGGUCAAAGGUGACAUUAUGCCCCAGAUUUUCUUCAAAAAAGUAAUGGUGGUGCGGGACCGUGGCAAUUACGAGAAGCGCGAAUGCAUUUGCAAUUCCAGAAAACUGGUUCUUGCGAUAUGAAGA